rnacentral:tRNA from 1 species
UAGCUCAGGCAGUAGAGCGUAGCGCUAACAACACUAAGGUCGCGGGUUCGAUUCCCGU